UACGGGGGGAGCAAGCGUUGUUCGGAUUUACUGGGCGUAAAGGGCGCGUAGGCGGCCAGCACAAGUCAGUUGUGAAAUCUCCGAGCUUAACUCGGAAAGGUCAACUGAUACUGUGCGGCUAGAGUGCGGAAGGGGCAACUGGAAUUCUUGGUGUAGCGGUGAAAUGCGUAGAUAUCAAGAGGAACACCUGCGGCGAAGGCGGGUCUCUGGACAGUUCCUGACACUGAGGCACGAAGGCCAGGGGAGCAAACGGG
rnacentral:rRNA from 1 species